GGGUGAACUAAGUUAGAUUGGGUGGCCAUUUUUAAUGCAGUCUAACCUCCACCUAACCUCCCCAUGUCUAUAUGUACCCCCUGUGUGCUCAGUCUAGGCUUGAGUUUGAUGACACUGAAAUCUCACAGCCUGAAGAUAGCCGACAUCUCACAAGAUAAAAUAUUUUCCUGUUAUAUUGGUCUACAACUGAAUCAGAUCUGAAAAACAAGCUUCUGUCCCUUUGGGAUCUGACAAAAAUAAAUACGCAAGCUUGUAUUUAGGGGGUUAAAUUCAAUCCCCAACUGCUUUUCAAAUUCUGGAGUUCAAAUUUUAUGAAUUAAUGCAAUCAUUAGAAAAAGGGCAAGGAGAUAUCUAAAUACAUCCCUUUGUUUCUGAAAACUUGAAAGUAUUAUAGACUUUAUAGAGAAUUUUCCCCAACCUCUUAAAGUUUAAAGAUCAUCUAUUUACAUCUGAGCUUUCUUUCCAUCUGCUUUUAUUACUAGAAAAACACAACCAGGUUGAAAUUCCCUAUAUUAUCUUAAAUGAAAUCAGCUGGACUUUUUUUCCAAUUUGCCUCCGGCUUUAGUGAAAAAUCUUAUCAGAAUACUAGUACGGUAAAGCAGGCUCCCCUUUAUGAAAACAUUUUUGUUUUUAGUAAUAAUUCCUGUUUCAUCUGUGGAAAACACAAAGUGUGGUACAUUGGAGUUGGAUAUAUAGCUUGGAUUCAGAAACUGAAAUUGCAAAUUUAUCAUACAAUGCUCUUUUCCUUUUAUACUUAAUUCAUGUCAAUAUUGCUUAUUAAUGAUUUUAUAUGUAUACACGCAUGACAUUCUUCACACACAAUAUUUAGUAGGCAUGUAAAAAAAUGUGUCUAUGACAAGAGAGAAAAAUAGGGACUGUAAUUCUUUAAUGUUUAAGAAAACCGGCCCAGUUGUAAACUUUGAGGGAAGUCUUGUUUUCAGAUUAAAUUAAUCAUAUUUCUAUUAAAACUGUCAAUCAAUAAACCUUAAAAAUCAGCAUUCAGGAAAGGCAAUUCUGAUAGGAGUAAUAAUUCAUUUUUUACGAUUCACUCUUUUGUGGGCGGAAGGAUGGUCUUGUAAUUAAGGCCCUGGGCUCCGGAGAGUUGGGUUCAUUUUCUGGCCCUGCCAAAGACUUCCCAUGUGAUCUCAAGCAAGUCUCUCAGAAGGAGAUUUUUAAAGGCACAAAGGGCAGGAGAAGUUCCUCAUCUCCCUUUCCUGUGAACCCCAGUUGGGCUACUAGUGCUGACUGACAAGAAAACUGAUUUGCCACAAUUAAAAAAGCAGAGCUGAAGCCAUGUUGCAAAGUCUGGAGACAAACUAGAAUCUGAACUUCCUCCUAGCAUUCAGGUGUUCAGAUUUGGGAUAUUAGUUCCAACCCAUCAUGUGAAACAAAUUACUUAAUGUAUGAUUUAAUGCUAUGGUCACAACUCUUUCUAAGAAAACGGGUCCUAUUCUAUUUCAAAAGAAAACGGGAGAAAGUAGGUAACAUCAUGCUGACCGGUAUUGUAACUAUUGGAUAAUUUAGUAGGACAAAAGUAGCCAUAGUGGGGAAAACAAAAGAAGAAGAAGAAAAUAGGUUACUUUAUCAGGAUGCAGCUGAUUUUCCCAUUCCACAUAAUAAAACUUACCAGUCCCUCAUAGAACAAGAAGAACAUUUCCCCUUUGUAUGAACUAUUAUUUGAAAAUUCCAUUUUCAUCACUAGCCCAUGUAUGUCCAUGUAUAACUGUAUUUUAUAGUGCAUAUUCAUAUUGUUAUAUUUGUGGACCAUGCACAUAUAUGAAAAGAGUUGGAUUUUGCAUGCGUGCAAUUUAUGAGAAACAUAUUUUACAAAUACUCCAUACAUUACUGUUAAAUUCCAUUCUAGAAUUAUAUUGCUAAGGGAGUGCAAAUAAAUGCUUUCAAAAGUGGGAUUCAGCAGUUAGAGGCAGGAGCAGCCCCCAGGAAUCCCAGGUUCUGUUUCUGACUCUGCCACUGGCUUAUUGCAUACAUAGACAAUAUGAUGUUCUCUACAUUGUAUUGUGAUUCACUUUAUCUACAAAACUGUAAUACAACUUCUCACAGGGCUGGAAUGCAGGUUAAUGGGCCCAAUCCUGCUACGUGUGAAACCAGUGGGAUUUGUGCCAUUGAUUUCAACAGGCCAAACCAGGCUCAGAGAUCGUAAAAAAAUCUUUCAGCUCCAAUAGUAAGCACUAUAUAAAAGCAAAAUAUGGAAGCUUACUGAAGGGGAGUUUUUGAAAUACAGUUGUGGAAAGGUGAAUAUUCCUUUUAGAACCGAAACUGAAGUUUUCCAAUUGUUUCAAGUUUUCUGUAGGAUUGUUAUUUUCACUUGUAUUUUACUGUGUCCCACUCAGCUGCUUAUUCACUUGAUUCUGCACAAUGCUGGGCACUUCGGCCCCAGAGCAGCAAAAUACUGUUUUAGUUUAGUGACAUAAACUCAUGUCUGUAAAGUUAAAUAUGCAUUUCUAUUUUGUUGGAUCAGGACUGGAGUGAGCAGCAGCCUACAGGAUAGAAUCAUCCCUAGGGCUAAAUGCAUAAUUGUUUUCCUGUUUUAAGGGAAGAUAUGGUAGUACAGUAUACACACUGUCUGACCUAAGAUCCAGAGCCAAAUUGCAAGCACCCACAUAAAGAUUUUCUUUAUGGAAUGGAUCUUAAAAGUGGAAAUAUCUAUUUUUCCUCCAGCUAUAGUGACAGACUGUGUUUGCUCAAUGAUCCAGAUGUACAAGGCCUUGUUACAAGCUACAGCUUUUACACAAACUAUUUUUUGUUUGUAGUUAGCAAGUUAGCAGGUUUAAAAUCACACAUUAUAGAAAUCUUUUCUUGAGGGUAUGAUAAUAACCUUUCCUGCCCUUAAAAAUGCUUAAUUCUGUGUGCUGACUAUGUAUUUUAAUAUUAUUUAACCUAAAGGGGUUUUAGAAGACAUAAAUUAUUAUACAAUAGAUUUAGACAGGCUUAUAAAACAAAAACAGAUAUUAAUACAUAGAAAGCCUAUACAGAAGUGGUCAUUGCUCAUACUUGUAUUAACGUGCAAAUAAUAAUUUUUAAAAGCCUUUAGUUUAGAGGCUCUUUCCUCAAAGUGUAUUUCUACCUGCUGAUUAGCUUAUCCAGAGUACAAGUCACUAAAAUGUGAGGACUCUUGUACGCAUGAUGGGGUUUCAGUUCUUAGGUUGCAUUCUAUGCCUUCUAAAUUGAAACAGUGAGUUUUUAAUUGAAAUGGUGGGUUUUAUUUUUCCAUCACUGUAUAUAUGUUAUUGUCCUGGUGGCCACAGGUGCCUGCUGAAGACAGAAGCAGCAAGGGGCCUGAUCCCUUUUUUUUUUUUUUUGGCAGAGCCUGCCCACCUCUCCUACGGCCAGGAGGCCAUUAAUCUGUGCCAUUAAUGUGUCAGCUUGCCCGCCUGGCCAUGGAAGAGGCAGGCAGGCUCCACAGAAAAAAUAAGGAUUGGGCCCUUCACCACUUCUUCCUUCAGCAAGCUCCUGUAGCCGGCAGGACACCUGGGGACAUCUGGGAAUGGGCUAGCUU